CCUCCUGCUGGUUUCUGUUGCUACCUUUUGAUAUUUCAGAGCAAGCUGAGUGAGUGACUGUCUAGACAGAGGAAGGUGGGCGGCAAACCACCUUCCUAUGAGCCCCAUGGUGUGCUCGCUGGGCCCUCAACACAAACAUUUUUCAGCAGAGCCAAGCCUUGGAGCUUAUCCUGAGGCCACUGGAGUCCAGUAACUCAUGGUACCUUGUUAAAUUUGCGCACUUCUUUAUCCAUCAUGCAGAUUAUUGCAGUUGGAAUGGGUCCUUUCAACAGUAACUUGAUAUUUAACCUUCCACGGAUCCAUUCUUAAAGCAUUCUCUGGGCACACUCAUUCACUUCAAAAUUAUUUCUUGGACACUUACACUAUGCUAGGCACUAAGUAAAGGUGUAAAACUCGUCUUCCAGGUGUUCACCAUUGGGUCUGACUCCGGUGCAUCAUGACAGCUGCUGUGCACACCUAAGAGGAGUGUGGGCUGUGGUUCUCGCCUUCCACCUGCAUCAAAUCCAGGGGAACACAGUCUCUGAGUGAGAAGGGUUCGUGGCCUUAGAUCCAGCACUGCCUCCUGCCCAUCGCAGAGUGAGCCCUGUACAUCAUCACCAAGUGAGGUGCUUUAGAGCAGACUCCCGCACCAUAUAGACCCUCCCUCCAGUGUCUGGUUUCUGCUUGAGAACGUUCACAUUCAGGAAGCCCUCCACUCUGGCAGCCCAUUCCAUUGUUGAAUCCUUCCAGCUCCUAGAGACCUUUCCUUCCACACCUAACUUCCUUGUAACCUCACCACGGGCCCAGCUUCUGCCCUUAGGAGCUAGGAUGAAAUCAACUGCACAGACCCAAUGCCAGGUCUCUAGGUUGGAGACAUCCCAGCUGAAUCCUGGCCCCCUUCUCUGGCCUUCAUUAUCCCUGUUCCUUCAGUCACCACUCAGGUGCAUUUGUUUUGAGACUACCUCGUCACUGUAUUGCAGAGGCAAGACUGGCACCAGUGGUUAAGCAAUAAUAUGAGCCACCUUAAGACUAGGAGUCAAAUUAGUUCUGUAGCUAUACAAGUGGGCGUGGACUUGUACAUGCACAUGUGCGUGCAAGUGCACCAUUAUGGGAUAGCAGCAUGUUGCCACUGACAGGACAAGAGUGUUCUCCUUGUUUCUACAGGCUUAUCUGAGCCCUCAAAAGGAUUAACAAAGAAACCAACACAUAGGCCAUUCUUCUCCAUGGAGUGCCUUGAUUAGGCCUCUUGAACAUGGAGAGGGACAGAUGUAGGCACUCAAGGAAGACAUGGAAGAGGGAGUGAGGCUCGCGCUCACCUUGAACCUGGUAAGGCUCUCAGCUGGUAGUGUUUCUCUGCUUUUUGUUGUCUGGCCUCUUAAAUAAAUUUCAAGAGGUCGGAAGUCUGCUUCAGGUGUUCUUGUUGGAACACUAGAAGGCAACAGGAUACUAGAAGAUGACAACUUGAAGUGAGAGGGUGCAGAUCGUAGGGCCAGGGCAGGGAAUAUGGACAAUUUCCUCCGCCUGCACUGUGAUUGUGCAACAGGAAACCAACUCGUCUAGUGGGUUACGAAACAGACUGAGCCUCCAGGACUCAGAUUCUGGUAGAGACUGAGGCAGUGGGAGGAUGGAUCCAAGCAGGAAGGUGAAUGAGAUGGAGAGGGGUCAGAUGGCUGGGAGGCAGGGGUGUGGGGGCAGCAUAACUUAGGAGCCCUACAGGUGGAGUCAGGACAGACCCAAGUCCAAACCCUGGGGCCACUAUUUACCAGUGAUGUGAUGUAACUAGAGGUUAAAUCUUGCUAACCUUAGUUUCCGCACCUGUUAGUAGCGGCAAUAAAACUUGGCUAGUAGAGACAUGCUGAGGAUCUCAUGAAGGCCUGGCACAGGGGAUAGAACUUGGGAACUUGCACUUGCAAGGCAGGUGGCAGAACCACUGAGCUAAAUCCCCAGCCGUGUAUUCUGUCAGAAUAAAUGACGUUUGAAAUAUCAAGGGUAGAAUGAAUAUCAGCAAGAGGAAAUCGUAGACCAAGAGGGAAGAUCUGAUUGAGUAUAAGGAACGCAUUAACACUGAAGAAAAUCAUGUUUUCUGGACUGGACACAAACUCAGGGCGCUGGGAGGAAACAGGAGUUGUAAACACACCUGUGGUGUUGAGGCAUUGGAGGAGAUGGGCAGUUUCCUCAGAGGACUCUGGGUUCUUUGGCAUAGAAAAUACCUUGAAAGCUGUACGGGUACCCAUUGUCUGUAUCCAAACCUGAUGUGUGCUGGGACCAUUUCAGCGACUGAACUACUAGAAAUGUGAGCCCUUACCAGAUGCAUUUUUCUUCUCUGAUCUCCCCAAGUUCUUGGAUGUCUCUGUCUAGAAGGCGUUAUGAGGUUUAGCAGCAGCUUAUCUUUCUCAAGAAAUAGAAUAAAAUUCUCUUUCCAUUUCUACUAACAUCAUAUCCAACUUUGAAAUCCGGCAUUAAGUUCCCACAUCCUCUUUUCCACAGCGAUUUCUGAGCACUAACACCCAUCCAGGUCAGGAAUCCAGCAACUGAACCAAUGAAUGCAGCCAAAGAGCGAGAAAUAAAUUUCCUGUUUUCCCACUACAUUACCUGGCAUCCUUGCAGUGUUUCUCUCCUUAUGAAUUCAUCACAGUUGAAUCCUUCUUUGGAGAAGGCUGCCUCGGGUCAAAUCCAUGUCCUACCACUUGUAAGCUGAAGGAUGUAGCUCAAUCCCCUCAUCUAUACCUUGUGGAUAAUAAAAAUCUCUCAUCCAUGUAACAGAGCUUAUCUGUAUAAAGUGCUUGGAAUAGGACCUAGCUUGGUAGCAAGCACUCAGUAAGGCACUCCGUAGUUUUACUCAAUAAAAGUUUCACUUCACUUGCACCCUUAUACAUACAUGAAAACCUCUGGCUUGAAAGGAAUCUACACGCUGACCACAACCUCCAACACCUAGGAACCCAUUCUGCAACAUGGUAUUUUCAGUCUACUUGAGCCUUACUGCCUCAGGGAGCAGCAUCCCAUCUUCGGACAGCGCUAACUUCUAGGAGAGCAAGG
ensembl:lncRNA